rnacentral:rRNA from 1 species
UUUAAGGUCUAACCUGCCCAAUGAGGAUUUAAAUGGCCGCAGUAUUUUGACUGUGCAAAGGUAGCAUAAUUAUUAGUUUUUUAAUUGAAAGCUUGUAUGAAGGGUUGGACGAGAUAAAGUCUGUCUUUAUUUAAAUCAAAGUAUAAUUUAACUUUUAAGUCAAAAGGCUUAAAUGUUUAUAAAAGACGAGAAGACCCUAUAGAUCUUUAUUUAAUUAAGAUUUUAAUAAUUUAGGAUUAUUUUAAUUUGGAGUUUUAAUUAAAUUUUAUUGGGGUAAUAUAAAGAUUAAAUAAAUUCUUUUUAUUUAUAACAUUAAUUUAUGAAUAUAUGAUCCAUUAAUAUUGAUUAUAAGAUUAAGUUACCUUAGGGAUAACAGCGUAAUUUUUUUGGAGAGCUCAUAUCGAUAAGAAAGUUUGCGACCUCGAUGUUGGAUUAAAAAUUAGCUUGGGUGCAGAAGCUCAAGAUUUUGGUCUGUUCGACCAUUAAAUUUUUACAUGAUCUGAGUUCAGACCGGCGUAAGCCAGGUCGGUUUCUAUCUUUAUUUAGAUAAAAUAUUUUAGUACGAAAGGACCAAGUAUUUAAUAUAAUUAUAUUUAUUUUUUGAAGAAUAUU